GCUGGCGGCAGGCCUAACACAUGCAAGUCGAGCGCGCCUUCGGGUGAGCGGCGGACGGGUUAGUAACGCGUGGGAACGUGCCCUUCUCUACGGAAUAGCCUCUGGAAACGGAGAGUAAUACCGUAUACGCCCUUUGGGGGAAAGAUUUAUCGGAGAAGGAUCGGCCCGCGUUAGAUUAGGUAGUUGGUGGGGUAACGGCCUACCAAGCCUACGAUCUAUAGCUGGUUUUAGAGGAUGAUCAGCAACACUGGGACUGAGACACGGCCCAGACUCCUACGGGAGGCAGCAGUGGGGAAUCUUAGACAAUGGGGGCAACCCUGAUCUAGCCAUGCCGCGUGAGUGAUGAAGGCCUUAGGGUCGUAAAGCUCUUUCGCCUGUGAUGAUAAUGACAGUAGCAGGUAAGGAAACCCCGGCUAACUCCGUGCCAGCAGCCGCGGUAAUACGGAGGGGGUUAGCGUUGUUCGGAAUUACUGGGCGUAAAGCGCGCGUAGGCGGAUUAGAAAGUUGGGGGUGAAAUCCCGGGGCUCAACCCCGGAACUGCCUCCAAAACUGCUAGUCUAGAGUUCGAGAGAGGUGAGUGGAAUUCCGAGUGUAGAGGUGAAAUUCGUAGAUAUUCGGAGGAACACCAGUGGCGAAGGCGGCUCACUGGCUCGAUACUGACGCUGAGGUGCGAAAGUGUGGGGAGCAAACAGGAUUAGAUACCCUGGUAGUCCACACCGUAAACGAUGAAUGCCAGUCGUCGGAUAGUAUACUAUUCGGUGACACACCUAACGGAUUAAGC
rnacentral:rRNA from 1 species